GACGUGGAAGACUAGUGUUAUUCAUCUUUAAUAGGUUUAAAGGGUACCUAGACGGUAUUUCUAGCCUGAAAAAGGUACGGAUUUACUAGAGUUUAUGUAAGAAGGGGAGUAUUUUAGGAGUAGAGAUGAAAUUCUUUAAUACCUUAAGGACUGGUAAGGGCGAAAGCAACCUUCUAUUUAAAAACUGACGUUGAGGGACGAAGGCCUGGGUAGCAAGAAGG
rnacentral:rRNA from 1 species